CAUAUCUGUGAGAUCCACACACAAGACGAUAUUACAUAAUAUAUUUUUAUUGCCCUUCCCAACAACAUUCCAUUUAUAAUGAUCUACUUGUCACCAGUCUCAGCGCUCUGUUAUAUUAAUCACUGAGAUGUUUCUACACGUCUAAUUCCUGGGAUUUUCCCCGUGAAGAUAGGCAAAUUAGCACAGGAUUCUACAAGCCUCAUUCAUUUACAUACAGCCCAACCUUCCAAACGAGAGAGGAG